rnacentral:rRNA from 1 species
UACGAGGGGGGCGAGCGUUGUUCGGAAUUAUUGGGCGUAAAGAGCUCGUAGGCGGUUUGUCGCGUCUGCCGUGAAAGUCCGGGGCUCAACUCCGGAUCUGCGGUGGGUACGGGCAGACUAGAGUGAUGUAGGGGAGACUGGAAUUCCUGGUGUAGCGGUGAAAUGCGCAGAUAUCAGGAGGAACGCCGGAGGCGAAAGCGAGUGACUGGCGCGUUCCUGACGCUGAGGUGCGAAAGCUAGGGGAGCAAACAGG